GAUUAACGCUGGCGGCGUGCUUAAUGCAUGCAAGUCGAACGGUCCUUCCCGUAAGGGAAGGACAGUGGCGAACGGGUGAGUAACGCGUAAGUAACCUGCCCCUAAGUGGGGGAUAACUUCGGGAAACCGGAGCUAAUACCGCAUGUGGUCCUUCCAUACAAGUGGAAGGAUUAAAGCCCUCGGGCGCUUGGGGAGUGGCUUGCGUCCGAUUAGCUUGUUGGUGAGGUAAUGGCCCACCAAGGCAAUGAUCGGUAGCUGGUCUGAGAGGAUGGCCAGCCACACUGGGACUGAGACACGGCCCAGACUCCUACGGGAGGCAGCAGCAAGGUAUAUUGUGCAAUGGGCGAAAGCCUGACACAGCGGCGCCGCGUGGGGGAUGAAGGCCUUCGGGUUGUGAACCCCUUUUCUCAGGGAAGAACAAUGACGGUACCUGAGGAAUAAGUCUCGGCUAACUACGUGCCAGCAGCCGCGGUAAUACGUAGGAGGCAAGCGUUAUCCGGAUUUAUUGGGCGUAAAGCGCGUGUAGGCGGCUCUUCAAGUCGGAUGUAAAAUCUCCCGGCUCAACUGGGAGGGAACAUUCGAUACUGCUGGGCUAGAGUGCAGCAGAGGGAGGUGGAAUUCCCGGUGGAGUGGUGAAAUGCGUAGAUAUCGGGAGGAACACCAGUGGCGAAGGCGGCCUCCUGGGCUGCAACUGACGCUGAGACGCGAAAGCGUGGGGAGCGAACAGGAUUAGAUACCCUGGUAGUCCACGCGGUAAACGAUGGACACUAGGUAUGGGGAGUAUCGACCCUCUCCGUGCCGUAGCUAACGCAUUAAGUGUCCCGCCUGGGGACUACGGCCGCAAGGCUA
rnacentral:rRNA from 1 species